GUGAGUCAUCGAAUCUUUGAACGCACCUUGCGCCCUUUGGUAAUCCGAGGGCAUGCCUGUUUGAGUGUCUUGAAGCUCUCAGAUGUUUAUUUGCUUAAACGUUUGGACUUGGGUGUACCUGCCGGACGUGUGCGUCGGCUCGCCCUAAAUGCAUUAGUCUGGCUUUUCGGGGUCCGCGAACUCGGCGUGAUAAUGUCUUGUCACUCGUUGGGGUUCUGCGACCAAGAGGGAAAGGCCGCUUCCAACUGCAAUUGUCUUCCCUUCGGAGACGAAUAUGUACAAGUGUUUGACCUCAAAUCAGGUAGGACUACCCGCUGAACUUAAGCAUAUCAAUAAGCGGAGG
rnacentral:rRNA from 1 species